CUGGAUUCUCCGGGGAAACUAUAGAAGGAAUGGGCAAUGAUCUGUAUAUGACAGUUGCUGCCGGACUAGAACAAAAUGAAUCUCUUCAGCUUGAACUGCUCCCUUCAGAAAGACCCCCAAGUCCUGCGGUUGAAUCAAAAACUUUUCUGAACAUUGGUAGCCACCCUAAUACAUUCCCUGCUCCUUUUCUGCAGACAUUCAAAAGUAACUUCAUGGGCACCACUAGAACUUUGACCUCUCAAACUGUUCACACAAAUAAUCCAGAGAAAACCCAAGUACAGAGAACAUUUUCUUCACACCUUAGCCAUUCAGUAACCAUACAUAGGAAGCAUCUCCUAAAAAAGCAUACCAAACCAAAUCUUCCCCACUAUUCUACUCUCACGACAAGCUAUGAAAUAUAUUUGACAGCAGAAAAUAAUUCCCAUGGAAGGGAUUCUGUAUUCAAGUUUCACGAAAAUCUUGUACUGGAAUCCCCGCACAAUCCUGGAGAUCUUCUGUUUGAAAUAACUUUUGGGGUGGAACAUAAAGCACAAAUCCCGCUAGCUGGAAGCAAGAUGGAAAAGGCUCUCAUAAGUGCCAUUAAAUAUCAGGUAGAAGAGAAAGUGAAACCCCUUUCAAACAAAGUCAAUGAAGUCAGGUUAAAGGAGAUUAAAAGGAAAGCAGAAACCAAAAUUGAUAGACAAAAUGGACCAAAGAUGAUAUUCAUAUUCUGGCUGCACCUCAUACCAGAAGAAAACAAUAUGUCUUAUUUAUUGCAUUUGCAACUGGAAGACCUCAUUGGUACAUCUAUAGGAAAUGGGAAAGUUGAGAGUGUUAAAGUGAGAGAUGUGAAUGAAUGCAGCUCUGGGAUUGGGCUAUGUGGGAAUAAGGCUAUCUGCCUUAAUGGAUAUGGUACUUACAUCUGUCAAUGUAAAGAAGAAUAUGAGGACCAUUCCCUAACAAAAUUGGGUACUAGGUGCAUUCGUAAGUCAUGGUCAGGCCUGGGCUCCUUGUAUAUGUACACUGAGAUUCUUGUAGGAGUCAUUGUUUUCUUCGUCUCUCUCCUUGUGGUGCUGAUCAGUGUGCUGUGUACAAUACUAAAGAAGAGACACACUAAGAGGGGUUUAAGCAUUCAAGAGGAAUCUCUGCCUGAGACGCCAACAGCCUUUGAUCAGAAGACCAUCCAUAAACUUCUUACUCUAGACCCUGCCUUGUUAAAACUGAGAGCCAAGCCACCAGAAUGGCCACUGCAACAGAGAAUUAGCCCAAAUGAAACAUGCAGAGUAUCUAUGGAGCAGUCUGAUUGCUUAUAAAAAUGGAUUAUGAGAGACNCCAUCCUUUUUUUUUCAUUAUUAAUAUUUCUCAUUUAUUGUCAUCGAGCCGAUGCAACUUUUUGUUUCUUGGAAAAUCUUACAGAUGUUUUAUUGCCCCUUUUUCUGUGUUUGAUUUAACUAAGUGUCUUAACUGAAAUAGAUGUUCUGUAAUAGUUUUUCUCUUGAAAUUUUUGGGUUUUUUGCUUAUGAAGGGCUUUCUAUAUAAAAAACAAAAAUGAAUCCAACUACUAUUUAUGGCUGUUAAUAAAUUUGGC
rnacentral:lncRNA from 1 species